rnacentral:rRNA from 1 species
GACGAACGCUGGCGGCGUGCUUAACACAUGCAAGUCGAACGGAAAGGCCCUGCUUUUGUGGGGUGCUCGAGUGGCGAACGGGUGAGUAACACGUGAGUAACCUGCCCUUGACUUUGGGAUAACUUCAGGAAACUGGGGCUAAUACCGGAUAGGAGCUCCUGCUGCAUGGUGGGGGUUGGAAAGUUUCGGCGGUUGGGGAUGGACUCGCGGCUUAUCAGCUUGUUGGUGGGGUAGUGGCUUACCAAGGCUUUGACGGGUAGCCGGCCUGAGAGGGUGACCGGCAGCAGUGCGAGGGAGGUGCGGCGCAGACUGCGGGUGGGGGGGGGAGGGGGUAAUAGGGCGCGAGGGGGGGGAGCAGGGUGCCGCUGGGGGGCGGGGGGGUGUGCGUCGUUGGGGUUGAAGCCCGCUGUCGCGGGGGAGGAGGCGUGAGUGAUGGUGGGGGUAAAAAGGGCACCGGAUACCUACGGGCCCGCGGCCGCGGGAAUAAGAGGAAGAGCCAGCGGCUGAGC